GAGGGAGUAGCUCAGUGGCAGAACAUGUGCUUAGCACGCACGAGGUCCUGGGUUCCAUCCCCAGCGCCUCCA
rnacentral:tRNA from 1 species